UUACCCAAUCCUAAUACAGGGAGGUAGUGACAAGAAAUAACAAUACAGGACUUUUUGGUUUUGUAAUUGGAAUGAGUUAAGUAUAAACCCCUUUACAAGUAUCAAUUGGAGGGCAAGUCUGGUGCCAGCAGCCGCGGUAAUUCCAGCUCCAAUAGCGUAUAUUAAAGUUGUUGCAGUUAAAAAGCUCGUAGUUGGAUUUCUGUUAAUAAUUUAUAUAAAAUAUUUUGAUGAAUAUUUAUAUAAUAUUAACAUAA
rnacentral:rRNA from 1 species